rnacentral:rRNA from 1 species
AUUGAACGCUGGCGGCGUGCUUAACACAUGCAAGUCGAUCGGUAACAGGUGUAGCAAUACAUGCUGACGAGAGGCGGACGGGUGAGGAACGCUUGGGAAUCUGCCUAUCAGCGGGGGACAACCCGGGGAAACCCGGGCUAAUACCGCAUACGCUCUACGGAGGAAAGCCGGGGACCGCAAGGCCUGGCACUGAUAGAUGAGCCCAAGCCGGAUUAGCUAGUUAGCGGGGUAACGGCCCACCAAGGCGACGAUCCGUAGCUGGUCUGAGAGGACGAUCAGCCACACCGGAACUGAGACACGGUCCGGACUCCUACGGGAGGCAGCAGUGGGGAAUAUUGGACAAUGGGCGAAAGCCUGAUCCAGCGACGCCGCGUGGGUGAAGAAGGCCUGCGGGUUGUAAAGCCCUUUCGGUAGGGACGAAAGCUCUCGACCUAACACGUCGGGAGGUUGACUUAACCUACAAAAGAAGCACCGGCUAACUCUGUGCCAGCAGCCGCGGUAAGAC